CCCUAUUUUCAGCAUUCUUGAAGAAUCAUUCGAGCAGUCAAUAGAUUCUCCAUCAAGCCUCAUCCACUCCCCUGGUUGUUCAGUCCCCAAUUGUGAUCCUUGGUAAACUCUUCACCUCCUUAACCAAGUCGUACUUGAUCCUUGAUCAUCGAAAAUCUCGGUAGGAUUACAGUCCCUCUUCAUCAUAUGUCAGAUCCCUUCUUCUCUCUCCGUAGUUUCAGCCUCUCUUCAGGCUCAAAAUUGUGAAUUUUCUGGCAUCUUCAAUAUUGAGGACUACA
rnacentral:lncRNA from 1 species